UUGGUUUUGGCGCGAAUGCGCUGCGCCAUGCUCCCCACCAGACUGCAGUAUUAGGCGCCUUUUUCCUCUUCCAGCCGCUACUACCAAACUGGUCCUGUGUGGCUCACCCUCAAGCCUGUACUCUCACUUUCUCAUUGCUUUUUUUCCCCACAUGCCAUUGUGGACUAAUGGCCUUGUCUACAUCAUUGUUGCCAUCAUUAACCCAGAAACUUCCACUGAACCUAGGAGAGUUCACUUCUUAUCCUGAAUGGUCGAGUGUAUGUGAUCCUGAUUGGACCCCCACCGCUUAUGUAGUUCCUCUGCAUGGGGUUUUAAAGAAAUAAAGUGAAAACCAGAAUCGUUGGGCUGUCUUGGACCUGGUGGACUUGUUUGCAGUCAUUGUGGUUGUACAGAAACCUGCCAAGCAACUUGAAUCUUAGCACUCUGCAUACAAGACACCAAGAUGGUAGAACAGGAAUAACUUGUUCGUCCUGAACAAGUGCCUUCAUGAGAUACAAAUGCAUUUUAUUAAAGAUAUUUAACUUUUGAUGCUA